CAUGACUACGACACUCAUUCUUUUCACGUGACUCAGCCUCCCCACAUCACCGAUCCUCACGAGUGCUGGAUCGAUCUGAAGGCUGCCGCCUUCCAUCUUCCCCAGCGCCGGCGACGGUAAGUGUACCAGCGGCAGGACAGUGCCGCUGGCGACCUGAAGGCCGCCGCUACCCCAACCGUGAUCGACCACGCCGAGCCAGUUAAUGUUCAUGAAUUAACUUAUACUACGUACAUGUGGAUCAAGGAGCAUUGCCGUUGUUACUGAUCAAUUGGGUGCGGUACUUGGUCGUCCUGCAAGUAGGGCUGAAGUUUAUGUUGUCACACAUACCAAGGUAGAUGGGCAAGCAGUUGAUGAGAAGUACGAAGAAAAGAUUGGUGAAAUCCGCAAUAAGCUAACUGAAAAUCCAGAUCUUGCAUUAAAAUCAAUUCAUGAUGGAGACUUGUAUGAUGAAAUCUUCCCAAGCAUGAAGAAAAGAAAACAAAUUGCUGGGAUAGGGCUUACAGCAGGAGCAAAGACUGUUUCUGUAGCCAUGGCAACAGAUGCAGUUAGGAAAAUGGGAGAAGAAAAUGCAGAAGUCAGGGCAAGGAUGGAAGAGAUAUCGUCUGAGUACAAGUCAUAUAAAGCAUAUGCUGAAGAACGAUUCACAAGGAAUGAACAACAAUUUUCUGAACUCAAGGAAAUGCUACUGAUGUCACAAUUAUUUGUGCCGAUUAUAUACUCUUAUUUGUGCCAGUUUUAUUGAAAUCCCGGUCAAAAAAGGAUAUUUGUGUUGGAUAUUUGUGCCUGUUCUAGCUUAAUAACCAGCAGAUACGUGCUUCAUCAUUGCCGGGUAAUAAACCGUCCUGUACGUGAUGUUUGAUGCUGCCA